rnacentral:rRNA from 1 species
GUGAGGAAUAUUGGUCAAUGGGCGGGAGCCUGAACCAGCCAAGUGGCGUGAAGGAAGAAGGAUCUAUGGUUCGUAAACUUCUUUUGCAGGGGAAUAAAGUGCAGGACGUGUCCUGUUUUGUAUGUACCCUGAGAAUAAGGAUCGGCUAACUCCGUGCCAGCAGCCGCGGUAAUACGGAGGAUCCGAGCGUUAUCCGGAUUUAUUGUGUUUAAAGGGUGCGUAGGUGGUUUGAUAAGUCAGCGGUGAAAGUUUGCAGCUUAACUGUAAAAAUGCCGUUGAAACUGUCGGACUUGAGUGUAAAUGAGGUAGGCGGAAUGCGUGGUGUAGCGGUGAAAUGCAUAGAUAUCACGCAGAACUCCGAUUGCGAAGGCAGCUUACUAAGCUACAACUGACACUGAAGCACGAAAGCGUGGGGAUCAAACAGGAUUAGAAACCCGAGUAGUCC